rnacentral:rRNA from 1 species
GACGAACGCUGGCGGCGUGCUUAACACAUGCAAGUCGAGCGGUAAGGCCCUUUCGGGGGUACACGAGCGGCGAACGGGUGAGUAACACGUGGGUGACCUGCCCUUAGCUCUGGGAUAAGCCUGGGAAACUGGGUCUAAUACCGGAUAUGACUCCAUGACGCAUGUUGUGGGGUGGAAAGCCUUGUGCGGCUAGGGAUGGGCCCGCGGCCUAUCAGCUUGUUGGUGGGGUGAUGGCCACCAAGGCGACGACGGGUAGCCGGCCUGAGAGGGCGACCGGCCACACUGGGACUGAGACACGGCCCAGACUCCUACGGGAGGCAGCAGUGGGGAAUCUUGCGCAAUGGGCGAAAGCCUGACGCAGCGACGCCGCGUGGGGAGUGACGGCC